AACGCUUCGCUACACCGCUUAACUUUGUUAGUACGUUGUCCUGAAGAUUUUCGUUCAAUUGGUCAUCAUAAAUAUUUCUUUAUUCUGGCUAGAACGCGCUAUGCGUAAUGUUUAACUUUUAAAGAUUUUCAGGAGACAUCAUGUCUAAAUCUACUGGUACCGUUAAGUGGUUCAACGAAGAGAAAGGUUUUGGUUUCAUCACUCAAGAUAACGGCGGUGCUGACGUAUUCGUUCACUUCCGCGCUAUCCAGAGCGAAGGCUUCAAGACCCUGGCUGAAGGUCAAAAGGUUUCUUUUGACGUUGAACAAGGCCAGAAAGGUCCUCAAGCAGCUAACGUAAUCAAGCUGUAAUUGAGUCCUCCUACGGAACUUCGGUUUCGUAAGACAAAAAGCAUCCUUAGGGAUGCUUUUUUUA
rnacentral:sRNA from 1 species